rnacentral:rRNA from 1 species
UACGGAGGGUGCGAGCGUUGUCCGGAAUCACUGGGCGUAAAGGGCGCGUAGGCGGCCUGGUAAGUAGGGGGUGAAAUCCUGCGGCUUAACCGCAGGGCUGCCUUCUAAACUGUCAGGCUCGAGCACGGUAGAGGCAGAUGGAAUUCCCGGUGUAGCGGUGGAAUGCGUAGAGAUCGGGAAGAACAUCAGUGGCGAAGGCGGUCUGCUGGGCCGUUGCUGACGCUGAGGCGCGGCAGCGUGGGGAGCAAACAGG